AUACAGAGGGUGCAAGCGUUAAUCGGAAUCACUGGGCGUAAAGCGCGCGCAGGCGGUCUUUUAAGUUGGAUGUGAAAGCCUACGGCUCAACCGCAGAACUGCAUCCAAAACUAUUAGACUAGAGUGUGGGAGAGGAAGAUGGAAUUAGUGGUGUAGGGGUAAAAUCCGUAGAGAUCAUUAGGAAUACCGAAAGCGAAGGCGAGCUACUGGAACAGUACUGACGCUGAGGCGCGAAAGCGUGGGGAGCAAACAGGAUUAGAAACCCCGGUAGUCC
rnacentral:rRNA from 1 species